GACGAACGCUGGCGGCGUGCUUAACACAUGCAAGUCGAACGGAAAGGCCCUGCUUUUGUGGGGAGCUCGAGUGGCGAACGGGUGAGUAACACGUGAGUAACCUGCCCUUGACUUUGGGAUAACUUCAGGAAACUGGGGCUAAUACCGGAUAGGAGCUCCUGCUGCAUGGUGGGGGUUGGAAAGUUUCGGCGGUUGGGGAUGGACUCGCGGCUUAUCAGCUUGUUGGUGGGGUAGUGGCUUACCAAGGCUUUGACGGGUAGCCGGCCUGAGAGGGUGACCGGCCACAUUGGGACUGAGAUACGGCCCAGACUCCUACGGGAGGCAGCAGUGGGGAAUAUUGCACAAUGGGCGGAAGCCUGAUGCAGCAACGCCGCGUGCGGGAUGACGGCCUUCGGGCUGUAAACCGCUUUCGCCUGUGACGAAGCGUGAGUGACGGUAAUGGGUAAAGAAGCACCGGCUAACUACGUG
rnacentral:rRNA from 1 species